CUCUAUAUUCAGUUUCCUUUUUUACGCAAUCACUUUCAAAUCAUGGAUGGAUUCUUAUCUCAAAAAAUAUGGAAGACAAUCUUUUUGUUUUCACUCUUAUACGCGUAUCACACCUUAUCAUCACAAGCAAUUCGACAGACUAUUUUUUUUAUCCCACGAUUCUCACAUUAUACGAAGAUGAAUAUUCCAUGUAAUUCAUUUUGAUUCUUGUAACAAGAUGUAGAUUGGUUCUUCGAUUAUGAUAAUGGAUUCUGUCCAUCGAUGAUUUCAAGGGUAAAAAAGUUAUACAUCCAUUGCAUAAUUAUUUCCAUCUUUCUCGAGUCCUCUGUCAUGUAUGUUUAUUUGGUAAGUUUUUUCAUUCCCUUUUUCAUAUUUGACCUAAAUAUGAGAACUUUCAUGAACCUUCUCUAUUUGUUUUUUGGCAAAAAGUUCAACAGAUAUCUAAUCCCUUAAAGGUUUUUGGUAUCCAAAAAAAAGAAAGAUAACUUGGGGUUUUGACAAAGAAAAGAAAAAAUGUUUUCUCUUAUUAUUGCAUACAAUUAAUCAUGCAUCAUGAAAGCCACUUAUGUACAAUUUAAAAAUGCAGAAAGCAUAAUGUACUUGCACCAAUUUAGUGAUUUGUCUAUUUAACUAAAUAUUGUAGUACUUAAUUUGUUAUGCUUUUUAUCAUUAAAUGAAUGUUUUUACCGGUUGUUGGUCGAAAAUUUGAAAAAAUAACACAGUAAUAAUUUUAUUGAUAGUUUGAAGGAAAUGAAUUUAAGUUAAAAUAUUUGGAGAAUGUUAAGAAAUGGAUUGAAAAAUAUGAAUGUAAUUUAGAGGGUACAAUGAAUGCGAGGAUGCUGAAUGAAAACCUAAACAGAAAGAUCUUCAACUUGAAAUUGAUGAGUUUGUAAGGAAGUUUGAUGGUGUUGUUAAAAAAAACUAUGAAAUUACAGGUAUUUACUGAGGUUUUUGAUAAAUUUCUUGCAAAUGUUUCUUGACAGAGGAUAUGCGAUAGUUGGUCUUCUGUGUAAGAAACCAAGCAACUUUGUAUCUUGAUUUGAGAAAUUGUUAGAAAAAAAAAAUGCUAAAAGCUCCAUCUACAUUUUCUUUGUUGUUUGCCUCCCUUACAGCUCAGUCUCUUGUGGAUGUUGAAGAUUUUCAAAACCAUAAUCAGUUGCAAAUUGGUCUUAUUCAUUUCAAUUACUAAUAAUAUGUGUUUGGAUUUUUUUAUUUUAUUUUUUAGUUUAUUCAACUACACCCAUGAGAUGUGUCAAUUGUAAGUUUGGUUUUUCAGGAGAUGUGUCAAUCGUAAGUUUUUUUUCUCUUUCUCUAAACGAUCCGGGUAUGGAUCCUUUGUUCCUGGUAUGUAUUCUCCCCUCUCUGUCCUAAAUCUUUUUUGACGAUUGUUUAUCUAUUUCCAUUUUUGUUUCUUUUUUAUAUUUAUUGCAUUUUUCAUAUGAGUGUGUUUUUGUGGUUUGAUUACAAAGUAUAAGUUAAACCCAACAAAGCAAUUGCUCAAAUGGAUGGGUUCAUGUUGCACACCAUCUGGUUGUGUAAAAGCUUUCUUAAUUUGAACCUUCUUUUUAACCUACAAACUCAAUUAUCAAAGACAUUGUUGUUUUGAGGAAUUUAAUAUGGCAUCUUAUGUUUGUUGAGGUUUUUAGUGAUUUGACCAUUUUACCCUUUGUUGAGAGCGAAAUAUUCAUUUCAGAUAUAUAAUUACUAAUGGAAGUCUUGGUGAUGUUUAUAUAAACCGGAGGCUUUUUAUAUUUAGUCUAGAAGGUUUUUUCAAUUUGGGGUAUUGAUGGAAUUUUUUAGGUUUUCAUGGUGGCCAUAACCCAUCGUUAUUUUGUAUUAUUAUGUUCUUAUUUUUCCGCUUAAACCAAAAAAAAAACAUUUCGAUUUUCAUUAUUCUGUAUUAUGGUGUUUUAUUUAUGUUUGUUUUAAAUAAUGGGAGUUGCUAAUUGUUGCCGCUAAUGUUGGCUGCAAUUCAAAGUACAUUGCUAUAACAGGGUAGUACAGGAAAGUGCAUUGCUAUUGAUGGAUUAGUCUGGAAAGUACUUUAACAAGUGUUUGAGGGUGUUAUUGUACUUUGGUUACAUGGUCUUAAUCCUCUCACAUGGCUUUUCAAACGCACACUUCAUUUGAUUGCCCCAUUAUGUACUUGUGACCCUCAUGUCAAUCUCAUAUAUAUAAUUUUUUUUCUUGAUUUGUAAUAUAUAGAUAUAAUCAUUCAAAUGCAUCAUUAGUUUUUAGAAUAUGUAUGUUGUUUUAUUUGGAAAGUUAAUUUUCAACCCCAAUUUUUUGUUUCUUCGGUGUUUGAGUUUGACAUCUUUUAUCAAUCAAUGUAAUUUCUCUUCACUUCACAUUUCUUCUAUGGUUGUAUAUUCGUAUAUGCCUUCAGCGAUUG